CCACCACCCUGACCAUGUGCACUGCACUGCUGCUGCUGCUUUUCUCCUGGAAAACUGUGAAGCAGAAUGAAAUUUGGCUGUCAAGAGAGUCCCUGUUCAGGUCUGGAGUUAAGACUCUGCCCCACAAUGCCAAGGUUCACUGUAACUAUGCCAGUUUCCUGAAGGACCAGUGUCGGAACCAGAAAGCGAUCCACCAACUGCAGAACUGCCCUCAGGGCUGCCAUAACAAAAUACCGCAGACUGGGUGACCUCACAGAAAUUUCUCUUCUCACCAUUCUGGAGCCUAGAAGUCCAUGAUCAAGUGGAAGAGAGCAGCCGAAGAGAGGAAGAGGUCAUGAGACAACGGAUACGGAGAGCCUCUAGGAGCUGGAAAAAGCAAGGAAAUGGAUUCUUAGAGGUUUCAGAAAGGAAUACUGCUCUGCCACAACCUUGGUGUUAACCCAAGUGAGACUUACCUGAAACUUCAGACCUCUGGAAG